ACCAGACUUGCCCUCCAAUAGAUCCUCGUUAAAGGAUUUAGAUUGUUCUCAUUCCAAUUACGGGGCCUCAUAAGAGUCCCGUAUUGUUAUUUUUCGUCACUACCUCCCCGUUCUGGGAUUGGGUAAUUUGCGUGCCUGCUGCCUUCCUUGGAUGUGGUAGCCGUUUCUCAGGCUCCCUCUCCGGAAUCGAACCCUGAUUCCCCGUUACCCGUUACAACCAUGGUAGGCGCAUAACCUACCAUCGACAGUUGAUAAGGCAGACACUUGAAAGAUUCAUCGCCGGCACGUAGGCCAUGCGAUUAGCGAAAGUUAUUCAGAGUCACCACUGGAAGGAGCCGCCCGUGAAGGCGGCCCCAUUGGUCUUGUUCUAAUAAAUGCGCUUUUCCCCUCACAGGUCAAAGCUUUUGUGCAUGUAUUAGCUCUAGAAUUACCACAGUUAUCCAUGUAGACAGUCAACAUCUAAGGAACCGUAACUAAUUUAAUGAGCCAUUCGCGGUUUCGCCUUAAUACGGCAUGUACUUAGACAUGCAUGGCUUAAUCUUUGAGACAAGCAUAUGACUACUGGCAGGAUCAACCAGAAGGG
rnacentral:rRNA from 1 species